GACGAACGCUGGCGGCGUGCUUAACACAUGCAAGUCGAACGGAAAGGCCUCUUUCGGGGGGUACUCGAGUGGCGAACGGGUGAGUAACACGUGAGUAACCUGCCCCUGACUUUGGGAUAACUUCAGGAAACUGGGGCUAAUACCGGAUAGGAGCUCCUGCUGCAUGGUGGGGGUUGGAAAGUUUCGGCGGUGGGGGAUGGACUCGCGGCUUAUCAGCUUGUUGGUGGGGUAGUGGCUUACCAAGGCUUUGACGGGUAGCCGGCCUGAGAGGGUGACCGGCCACAUUGGGACUGAGAGACGGCCCAGACUCCUACGGGGGGCAGCAGUGGGGAAUAUUGCACAAUGGGUGGAAGCCUGAUGCAGCAAAGCCGUGUGCGGGAUGACGGCCUUCGGGUUGUAAACCGCUUUCGCUCAUGACGAAGCGUUGUGUGACGGUAGUGGGUAAAGAAGCACCGGCUAAAUACGUG
rnacentral:rRNA from 1 species